ACUCCUACGGGAGGCAGCAGUGGGGAAUUUUGGACAAUGGGCGAAAGCCUGAUCCAGCAAUGCCGCGUGAGUGAAGAAGGCCUUCGGGUUGUAAAGCUCUUUUGUCAGGGAAGAAACGGUGAAAGCUAAUAUCUUUUGCUAAUGACGGUACCUGAAGAAUAAGCACCGGCUAACUACGUGCCAGCAGCCGCGGUAAUACGUAGGGUGCAAGCGUUAAUCGGAAUUACUGGGCGUAAAGCGUGCGCAGGCGGUUUUGUAAGUCUGAUGUGAAAUCCCCGGGCUCAACCUGGGAAUUGCAUUGGAGACUGCAAGGCUAGAAUCUGGUAGAGGGGGGUAGAAUUCCACGUGUAGCAGUGAAAUGCGUAGAUAUGUGGAGGAACACCGAUGGCGAAGGCAGCCCCCUGGGUCAAGAUUGACGCUCAUGCACGAAAGCGUGGGGAGCAAACAGGAUUAGAAACCCGAGUAGUCCCAUGA
rnacentral:rRNA from 1 species